GAAUAUUGGACAAUGGGCGCAAGCCUGAUCCAGCCAUGCCGCGUGAGUGAUGAAGGCCUUAGGGUUGUAAAGCUCUUUCGUCCGGGACGAUAAUGACGGUACCGGAAGAAGAAGCCCCGGCUAACUUCGUGCCAGCAGCCGCGGUAAUACGAAGGGGGCUAGCGUUGUUCGGAAUCACUGGGCGUAAAGGGCGCGUAGGCGGCUUUGUAAGUCGGGGGUGAAAGCCUGUGGCUCAACCACAGAAUUGCCUUCGAUACUGCAUGGCUUGAGACCGGAAGAGGUAAGUGGAACUGCGAGUGUAGAGGUGAAAUUCGUAGAUAUUCGCAAGAACACCAGUGGCGAAGGCGGCUUACUGGUCCGGUUCUGACGCUGAGGCGCGAAAGCGUGGGGAGCAAACAGG
rnacentral:rRNA from 1 species